UUUCCUUCAUAAGAACAACUCAGGCCCCUGUGGGUCUCCAGCCUUCAUCCUGCAAGCUGAGAUAACCAUUGGUAACCAAAGACCAAGAUUUGACCUUUAACCUUGAACUGUUAAAGGUCAGUAACAGAGGCUGAGUUGGUCAUCCCUUCAUCCUGAGAAGGAUGAGAACCCAGGCUUCUUAGGACAGGCGGCUGGAAGUGAUGGGUGAACGGUCCUGUUUAUCUCUUCUUUGUCUUGGUGCCUUGACAUUAUUUUUACCAUGACCACAUGGACCAUUGUCAACAGGACACACAGCAGACAGACAGGGCCAUUGGUCAACCUCUGAGGAACAAGAGCAUGGCAGCAAAUGCCCUGCUUGCACUUCCAUGGGAAAGACGUUCCUGUACAGUUGAGAUGACGUGUCGGUCAGAGCAAGAAGUCGCUAUCUCCAGGAGGCUGACUCACUUUCUUCUCAGAUCUCCUUGGAAGUUAAGAUGGCUUUGUUAGUUUUAUACACCAGUUUGCUUGCCGGAAAAAAAGACCUGGAAGACCCUCUUGUUGCCAUAGUUGGAACAUGACUGAUUAAAGUAAUUCGAAAUUUGACGUUCAGCAUGGGCAUCUUGGUGCUGACUUUUCCAGAUUCAGAUUUCACAGAGGCACAAAGGCAUAUAGCAUUGGUGAAGAAAAAUCUCAAUGUCUUUUCUCUUAGUAGUUUCUGAGUGAGUUGGGUAAUCAGGUUUUAGACCUUGGCAAUUUGUCCACCCCAUCCACCCCACCCCACCCCCAGACAGGGUUUCAUUGUGUAACAGUACUGGUUGUCCUGGAACUUGUUCUGCAGACCAGGCUGGCUUCCAACUCACAGAGAUUCUCUUGACUCUGCCUCACAACUGGGAUUAAAGGUUUGCCACCACGGGUGCCAUCACCAUUGCCACUGCCGCUACCACCACCGCCACCACCCAGUGGCCCUGACAAUUUUAAAAAGAAGUAAAGAAAAGGAUGUUAUUGUGA